rnacentral:rRNA from 1 species
UACGUAGGGGCCUAGCGUUGUCCGGAAUUAUUGGGCGUAAAGAGCUCGUAGGCGGUGUGUCACGUCGGCCGUGAAAACUUGCAGCUUAACUGUGGGCGUGCGGUCGAUACGGGCAUCACUGGAGUUCGGCAGGGGAGACUGGAAUUCCUGGUGUAGCGGUGAAAUGCGCAGAUAUCAGGAGGAACACCGGUGGCGAAGGCGGGUCUCUGGGCCGAUACUGACGCUGAGGAGCGAAAGCGUGGGGAGCAAACAGG